rnacentral:misc_RNA from 1 species
AUUUAGGGUAUAGAGUUAUCUCCCUUUUGGAAGACUACUUCCUAUAUUAUACACCGUAUAAUAUGUAUCCCAGAAUUAGUGUGUUAGUCUUGUCAAAGGAACUGUGAUCAUUCCAUUCAUUUGUAUCAGUGCUACAACUUGUAUGUGUAUCCAUUGUAUAUUGUUGAUAUUUAAUCAGGGUUAUAAAAUGUGAGAUG